rnacentral:lncRNA from 1 species
AACGGCUGGAGAUGCUCUUAGGGGCUUGGGGCGGCUUCCCGAAGCGCCGAUUUCCGCGGCGAGAAAAAAUCAUGGUAGACCGGUCAAAACCAGCUGGGCACACAUCGGUUGGAUGUUUUUUUUCUAACACUAGAAGGGCCCAGAAGGACCCAACACUUCAUUGACUAUGACGAAGAGACAUUACAGCUUACAACAAGGACACUAAAGAAACUGAAAAUAAAAACAAGUCCCCGCAUCUUAUAGAAAGGACCCCAAACAUAAAACUGAAAAUGCGAUCGGGUCCACGCUGCGCCGCAGUGGAUACAAUCAUCGCCGGCGCUGGGGACGGACCACUUGGUCCCGCGAGACCUCUGUAGCAAGCCACAGACUCCAAUUUGGCACAGCACUGCCUCCCUUCUGGCAUCGUGGCUGGGAGGAACAAGGAUGGUCGCCCUUCGGCCAGAGGAAUCGAUGGAUUGUUGGAGGAGACCGAUGCCGUAGCUCCUCCAGAUCCACCAUCGAAUGAGCUUAGGAUCCCCAUCACCAGCUUCCAACGAGAUACCGGAAGCCCUUUCCCAGAUGCGGGGAUAACACCACCUACGCCGGAAGCUCGGAUCCGGCGAGGCCCAGCACCACGAGAGGAGGCGAGGCGAGAUCUCUCCACCUUUCUGCUGCCAUCACCACGAGUCCACGACGGCAAGAAACAGAGGAAGGAGCCACCGCAGCUCCUAGACGUUGGGCAGACGUGAGCUUAUUGGGAGGGAUACUGCCAGAUCCGAUGUCCACCAGUCCCCUCCACCAUGGAGGCGAGGUAGGAGACAACGACGGCCACCACCAGACUCUGCUCACAAGGUCUAGCAGCAGGUAUCCCGACUGGCAUGAGGCCACACCACGGCAUAAAGCCAAGUCUAACUAAGUCUACUGCUACUCUAAUAUACACUAGUUGACAGCCCGUGCGUUGCCAUGGGCUUUGUAAAAUUUGUACUGGUUGCAUGUCGAAUUUAAUAUGAACAGAAAAGAUAGCCAAUAACACACAAAAAUGAUUUAAAAUCCCCUUCACUUGCAAUGUAUUUCGAUAAAAAAUCGACCGUAUAAUAGAAAGACCUAUCAUAUCUGAUUCACAAAAUAAAGAAGGGGCUACAAAAACAUUAAACUCUUUAUUGUGCUCUGCAUUACAAAUGAUAAUAACACUUGAAUGCCUUUAUUAUUUAUGCUUAAGAUACCAUCUCACAAAAGCAAGUGUAUUAUUAUUAUCCAUUAAUUGAAGACAAACAUAUGGAGUAUUUUGUUCCCUUUAAACAAAUGUUCGAACAAGUUACAACCAGAAACUCAAUUCCAUAAAUAAAUAAAUUGAUUGCAAUAUGCAAAAGCCUAUAUUCUAGAACAUGCAAUUCACCAUUUAGGUACUACUGCAACAAAACACAUCUUCUAGAACAUGUUACUAUCUUGGGAGAGGUAAAUACAUCAAUCUUUGAUAACAUUUAUUGUUAAAAAAUUGUGUAUACAUUUAUUUGUAUUUUUAUAAUAUUGUGAUAAAUCCAUUGACGAUUUUCUUCUAGUUUGUUUGAGCGGUGUAACGCCUGAUUUGGUGUAUCGGUUCAAAAGUAACUCACAGAAGACUCAAAAGAAAAUGUGUGUUGUAGUGUGAACUCUGACAUAAACCGAUCGAAGGAAAAGCCUAAUUCGGUAUACACUCAGACUUUAAGCUCAAAUAUAAGUGUGAAUCACAGCCACCACCAGACUCUGCUCACAAGGUCUAGCAGCAGGUAUCCCGACUGGCAUGAGGCCACACCACGGCAUAAAGCCAAGUCUAACUAAGUCUACUGCUACUCUAAUAUACAUAUGGAAGAACCAGGGACCUCUCCUCAGCCAUCGCCAGCCAGCAUCGCCGACGGACGAGGCACCAGAUCGGGCCGGCCGGGGAUGAGUGACUCUCAAAAGGGGGCGGUGGAAGAGAGGAGAAGGGGAAACUGCCGCGACCUCUUUUUCCAGCAGCCAUCGCCAGCCAGCGUCGCCGACGGACGAGGCAUCAGAUCGGGCCAGCCGGGGAUGAGCGACUCUCAAAAGGGGCGGUGGAAGAGAGGAGAAGGGGAAACUGCCGCGACCUCUUUUUCCAGCAUCGGUUGGAUGUAUGCUGCAAAAUGCAAAUACAUAGAGAUUAAUCACUCCAAUCAAUAGUGUGCUAUCAGUGUAGUUAUUGUGUGGUGGGGCAUACUCACUUAUUGACAGGAAUACUAAAACUACUAGACACGGUGCCCUUGUCAAAGCGAACAGAUGGGAGGUGAUAACUGAGCAUCUGAGCGCAUGCUUGGAUACGAAUUUUCGACAGUUUUUACUCUUCAUCGUUGGGUCUCUAUUUGUCUCUACCUUUUAAACACUCAUUUUGAGUGCUUGUAGCUUUAGCUUUAGCCUGAUUUUAGUAAUCUUCCAGUUACCAGGACAUUAACUUAGCUUACAUAGAUACUCGUGGUUUGAGACCAAGGUAAUAUCAUGGACUAGGAACACAAUCUAUCACACAGAGCAGUUCACAUGUUUACAUGUACACCAUGACAACAUGCUAACUACUCCCUCUGUCUCAAAAUAAGUGUCUCAACUUUGUACUAACUUUAGCACAAAAUUGAGACACUUACUUUGGGAGGGAGUACAAGUUUUCUUCAACACAUACUCCAAUGCCAGCAACACUUGAUAUGUGUACGGACAAUGAGGGGUGUUUUCAUCAAAAUUUGUCCCCAUACUAUUUGUAUUACAUAAAGUGCAAGCUUUUUCACCACCUUUUUUCAUUUCUUCUCUUUUCUUUUUUCCUUUUUUUCAUUCUCAGACCAGCUUCCCACAGACCAACUGACUACAUGUAUAAAAACAUAGACGGUCGAAAUCUACCUAAUAGUGCAAUUUACAAAGCAGGACAGGUUACUUCUCACCAUCCAAGCUUCAAAUCUUGUGGUAACAUGCAUGAGAUUUGGAAGCAGUCAACCAGUCAGUCACUCAGAACUUAAUCAUGUUCACAAGACACUCUUCGGACAUUCUUUCAUGAGCUCUGCGGAAAGCACAGAUUUGGUGUCACUACCUGUUGUAUGCACCACGGGAGACAAAGAACUGAUAAUCUGGAUGGCCGGCACGGCUGUCUCUCAGCCAGUCGGCAGCAGCUUGCCUUAAGCAGCUAGCCAGUUUCCAAUCACCAUCAGUUGAGGACCAGACUGAGUUGCUAAACUUGUAGGAAGCCAAACCAAAAACUGGGAGUGGUAUGUUUGGUGUGCUAUCAGGAGCCCACAGAUUAUCUGGACACAGGAAUGCAGAUAAAAUUCAGAUGGUGGCAUUUAGGCAGGUAGGCAGCACAGGAUGACAGCAUUUAGGUUCCAUUAUCUCAUUGCUCACUAACAAGGUUAACUAACAUACAGAAGAGGGCAUAGACAUGCACUGGAAACUAUAUAUAGAGAAAAGCAAUAAAAACAUAAAGCUCUCUUUUUCUUUCUAUAAAUGACAGCUCACAGUAGGUAAACCUCAGUGCAUCCAAAACAUUAGAACUUGUUAAAGCAGUGAUACAACUACCAUAUAUAUUCAUUUCAUAGCUCAAGAAUUCCUAGCAUCGAGGUUUGUCAAAAUCAAAACCUAUUUUUUGCUAUUAAUUGGGUUUACAGAUUCUAGCUGGUCACAGAUGUGAGUUGCCAGGGCAUCUAGGCACCAACUGAAAAUGGAAUGACUCAAUUAAUAGUAGAUAGCUGUUUUAUGUCCUAUUCAUUUCUUUCCCCAGUGUACUGAAAACAUGCUAAAUGUAUGUACAUGCCUAACAAUCAGAAAAAUAAGCACUAUAGCCAAAAGUAAGACUCCCCAUGUUCAUUGGGCGAUAAUCAAACCAAUCUUAUCCUAAGUACAUGUUAGCUACAACUCACACUUCAUUAAUGAUUGUGAAUCUACAAACACUUCAGAGUAAGACUAACAAAGUUUACUAUAAUAAAGAUAAGUGCUACACUUGAACUUGACUCCUGACACUUGCUCACUUUUAAGAACGAGGACUAGAAGAAAGAGAAAGGAUAAAGGAAAUUUAGAUAUAUAACUCUUUCAGACUUCACAUGUCUACUUAAUCUGAUCAUGAACAGGAUAACUGAAUUUACAAUAAACAUGCAUAGUGAUGAGCUAAUUCAACCUAUGAUCCGAGGAACAAAGGUCAAAUCUAAUUACCUCCUUGCGGGCAAUUUGAAAGCUGAUGGAAAGUGAGAAAGCAGGCAUCUAAAUCUUUUAAUGUUGGUCCAGUAGGGAUACGAUAAAUUGGGUACCUACACAAUGCAUAAGGAAUUUAACCUAUUAGUAGCUGCAAUCAUCCAUCCAGCACCAAUUUUGUAUAUAUAGAGAGAACAUACCAAGCGAUGCUCAUCCAACUCCGCGCUGAUAAAUCACAACUCCUAAGGGUCCUCAAUCCUGGAAAUCUAGCUGAAAGGCUAGAAAUCUGAACAACAAAUUUGUCAGAACACGAAAAUACCAUGAAAACUACACAAAGUUGUAACUUCUUGCCUUAUCAGUGAAAGGUUCACGGCAAAACGGAGAAUCAAACUCGAGGUACUGAAAGAGCAAGCGGCCAUGAGUAACUCCAGAUUCACCAACAUCCCUUGAGAAGCC